UGAUGAAAAUUUUAGUUUUUGUGAUGGCUUUCUAUCACAACAUGCUGACGAUGAUGUUGAAAUUUGUUGUUGUUUGAAAGAAAAUGAAUUAAAACAGGAAGUUAAAAAUAACAUUCAAUCUUUAAGUAAAAAUGUGGAAAUACAUUAUGGAAUUAACCCAGUUCAGUUAAAGUCUAAAUUUGCACCUAAUUCGUUUGACAUAUUGUAUUAUAUUUUACCCGGCCUAUCUUUUCAUGGAUAUCCUGAUUUUAUUGAUCCACAAACUGAAAUGUUUAAAUUACGUUUGAAUUUAUUUUGUUUUAGUUUUUUAAAAAGUAGUAAAAAUAUAAUUAAACCAGAUGGAUAUGUUUAUUUAUUAUUACCUGAAGAAACUAACGAACAGGUUAAUGGUGACGACCAUAUUAACAAUUACUCUGAUAAUGAGAGUGAUAAUCGUAGUAAUUAUGAAACUAACCAUAACAAUAAUAGUUGUAAGAGAAAUGACAAUGAAAGUGUAAAUGAAAAUGUAAAUGUAAAUGUAAAUGUAAAUGAAAAUGUAAAUGAAAAUGUAAAUGAAAAUGUAAAUGAAAAUGAAAAUGUAAAUGAAAAUGUAAAUGAAAAUGUAAAUGAAAAUGUAAAUGAAAAUGUAAAUGAAAAUGUAAAUGAAAAUGAAGGUUAUAAUGACGGUCAAGAAGAUGACAAAAAUGAUGAAAAUAAUGUUUUGUCAAAAGAAAAAAAUUUAAAAUAUUCAAAAAAAAAAAUGUUACCGUUUUUACCUAUCGAAACACAUAAAUUAGCAAAGUUUUGUAAUGUUAUAAGAGAUUAUGAAAAAGAUUAUAAUUUAAACUUGUCUGUACAUAGUCAAUGGUUACCUGUUUUAUUUAAUAUGCCAAUUGUUAAUAAAUUACCACAUUGGGUUAAAAAAUGUAAAUAUUGUUGUUUCAAAAUGACUGAGUUGAAUAAUAUUCAAAAUAGUAAAGAAAGCAUCACUUCUUUUUUAUCUAAUCAUCAAGAAAAUGAAAAACAAACGGAAGAUAAAACAGAAAAUAAAAUAGAGGAUAAAAUAGAGGAUAAAAUAGAGGGUGAUAUUAAGAAAGGUAAGAAUAAUAAUAGUAAUGAAAAUAUUGAUGAAAAAGAUGAAACGAAUAAUGAACGUGAUAAAAAACAGGAUGAUGGUGAUGGUGAUGAUGUAGAAAAUAAUAAUAAAAAUGAUAAAAAUGACAAAAAUGAUAAAAAUGAUAUGAACGAAUAUAAUGACUCAAAUGUUGAUGGAAAUAAUGAUAACGAAAAAAAUACAGAUGUUGAAGAAAAAGAAAAUGAUAAAGAUAANNNNNNNNNNNNNNNNNNNNNNNNNNNNNNNNNNNNNNNNNNNNNNNNNNNNNNNNNNNNNNNNNNNNNNNNNNNNNNNNNNNNNNNNNNNNNNNNNNNNUGCUUUUUAUUUAAACUUUAUUCUAUUAAUAGUAAAAGUAUUUUAAUUUCAAGACUAACAUUAAAAUAUGAUCCUAGAAUAUCAGGAUGGAAAGGAGAUAAUAAAAUUAAAAAAGAUAUGAUAAACAAUAUGUCUAUGAAUAUGAACAAUAUGUCUAUGAAUAUGAAUAAUAUUUCGAUGAAUAUGAAUAAUAUGCCUAUGAAUAUGAAUAUAAUGAAAAAUAUGAACAUGAUGAACAUGCAUAAAUAUAAAGGUGGUAAAUACAAAAAUAAUAAAUCAGGUAAAGAUGAUUAUCAACAACAAUACAAAAAUAAUUUAAAUUAUGGAAUGAAUAAAAAAGGAAAUAUUAAUAUGCCUCCACCACCUCCUAACAAUAUGAAUAUGCAACAAAAUAAUGUAGGGGUUAUGCAAAAUCAAAAUAUGAAUUACAAACAAAAUAAUUUCCCUUAUGUUAAUAAUUUUAAAUGUAUGGCAAAUAAUUUAUCACAAAAUGUACCUAAUGUUAUAUCUAAUAUUCCUAUGGCAGUUAAUCCAAAUAUUGCAAGUAUGACAAACAUGGCCAACAUAACAAAUAUGGCAGCUGGAAUGACAGGCAUGACAAACAAUAUGAUGAAUCCAUACAUGAAUGGCACAUAUAACCCUAAUUAUCGAAACAAUAUGUAUGACCAAAAUAUUCCUAUUCCACCUCCCAUGAAUAAUUUUAACAAAAAGUAAAAAAAAAAAAAAAUAAAAAAAAUAAAUAAAAAGGACCCCCA
ensembl:lncRNA